rnacentral:rRNA from 1 species
UACGUAGGGUGCAAGCGUUAAUCGGAAUUACUGGGCGUAAAGCGUGCGCAGGCGGCUUUGCAAGACAGAUGUGAAAUCCCCGGGGCUCAACCUGGGAACUGCAUUUGUGACUGCAUGGCUAGAGUACGGUAGAGGGGGAUGGAAUCCGCGUGUAGCAGUGAAAUGCGUAGAUAUGCGGAGGAACACCGAUGGCGAAGGCAUCCCCUGGACCUGUACUGACGCUCAUGCACGAAAGCGUGGGGAGCAAACAGGAUUAGA